GAGAAAGCAAAGUGCAGAUGGCUUAAUACUAAGCAUGACAUAUGGAACAUAUUAAAUCAAAUCACAUAAUGUGUUUUCAUUAGUACAAAUGAAUAGAAAGCUUAUUCUGUAUCACGCAGCCCAGUCUGAAUAUGAUGAGCAACUAGGAUGAUGUAUUUCUUCCACUGGCAGAGUCACUGACUUGACAAACCUAACUGAUGAUCAUUAAUUCACAAUAAUAAGACUCAGACAGAAGUGAUGGGGUUCACUUCACAACAAGAACAAGGAUGAUCACUAAACAUGAGAGAAGUGGUGUGCCAGCGUCUCCUGCAUGCAAAAUGAGGUCUUCCCCAGGGUCUGCACCAAUGCUGGCACUGGACAUGCUGUCCUGAUGAGGCACGAGUUUGUGUUUUGGUCUGUUGCAACCCUGAACAUUAAUUUUCAGGUCUCUGAAACACAGUACAAAGAGCUUGUCUCUGUUACUAAUAUUCUAAAAAAACCUCUCUUGGUCCACUAAACAAACUCCUUGCAACAGCUGUUUGGAGUCCUGACCAUUUUAAAUCUUUGCCUACAAGUUAAGGGGGGAGGAAAGCCUCAGAAAGCCAGAUCCAGUAGAGUAAACAAAUAAGAUUCAUCUCUUGGAUGGAGAAAAAGAUUGUGGUCUCUGCUGCAGAAUCAGAGAGCAGGUUUUAAUCAUCAAGUCAUUGCCCUAACACUAAAAUAUGUAUUUCUGAAUCAGUAAUAGAAAUGAGUUCCUGACUAGGGCUUUGGAGCAUGUCCUACAUUGAGGGUAAAACAGUCCCCAGUGCUGUAACCAGCUUGCCACAUCCUCCUCAAAGGCCACACUGUGUGGGGCAGGCACUAAACCUGCCAGGAUGGAAUAAGAGGAUUAGAGGGACUCUGGGCAGCAGGUGCCCAGUCUGGCACCCCUCAGAAGGCGAGAGGAGAAGCAGGGCACAGAGCUGAGGUUGGACCUGUACAGGCAGCAGAGCCAGAGGAGCAGCCCUAAGCUAGACAUCAUCACUCAAGAGUUAUGAAAAUCAUACUCUGUUAGGCAUACACACCAUUUAAUUUCUAGUGAGUUGGCAGGGGAAAAUAGGUCUCAAAAAAGCCAACAAAUGCCCUGUGAAAUGUGGAAAAUUUAGGGCUGAAAACAUUUUCAUAUGUCUUAGAAGGAACUCUGCUGCUUACUGACAUUCCCCAGUCUCACCUCUGCAUCACUCUGGUUUCAAGUCCUGCUGCUUUUAUGGAUUUAGACAUUCACUUGUUGUGGUCCCUCCUGCUCUCUGGGUUGGAGGCACCACAUCUAGCCUUUACCAACAGUUCACCUCUUUGUUAACUGGUCCACAGACUAAAAGUUCACUGCUUGUAGUGAACUUGGCUCUUUACUACUCCAUGUACAAAUUGUAACUGCCUUUCCACCUUGGUAUUCACAGCAGCUCCCACUAAGGAAGCCUCAGAAGUAUUAGCACAGUAUGUAGCACAGUCCCUCAAGUUACAAGAAGCCUUUUUAUUUGUUAUGAACACAUUUGUCAAAGAUUAACAUCGUAAUACAGGAGCAACAUGCGCUAAAAUAAGGAUUUUUUUUUUUUUUUUUAAAAUAAAUAAGCUGUUGGCAGCAUGUGAACUGCAGUAAUUCCACCAACUUGUUACUAAACUCCAGGGGACCAAGUACAAGGUCUUAUAUCACCGUGGCUACCAGGUCAGUAUUAAUGAGGAAGGAAUGUCAGUGUGACCACGGGCCCCUCUCAAGUUCCUCUGUGCACAACAAACACAGGCAGAUAGGACAGAGCAAAAAUUUGUUUUCACCACACCUGAGCAAAAAUGGAAGAGCUGCUACAGCGAGACUACCAACCAGCAAUUUUUUUUGCUUUUCAACUGGAAUGUAAGGCAGACAAAAGUAAGAGAGAAGACUAUUUGUGAAUACACGCUUCUGAUAAAAGGAGGAUGGCUGUAACUUGAUCUGGAGGCAAGAUGUACAUCCUGUGCUACAUCUCAAAUAUGACUCUAAUCAAAACGCAGAGGAAACAAUGGCUCAGUUAACAGCUCUCAAACAUGGGGUGUCCCUGCAGACCUCAACGAAAGUACAUCUCUGAAAAAUUACAUCAUUUCACAAAGCAAA